UACGAAGGGUGCAAACGUUGCUCGGAAUUAUUGGGCGUAAAGAGCUCGUAGGCGGUGUGUCACGUCGGCCGUGAAAACCUGCAGCUUAACUGUGGGCGUGCGGUCGAUACGGGCAUCACUGGAGUUCGGCAGGGGAGACUGGAAUUCCUGGUGUAGCGGUGAAAUGCGCAGAUAUCAGGAGGAACACCGGUGGCGAAGGCGGGUCUCUGGGCCGGAACUGACGCUGAGGAGCGAAAGCGUGGGGGAGCGAACAGGA
rnacentral:rRNA from 1 species